AGAGUUUGAUCCUGGCUCAGGACGAACGCUGGCGGCGUGCUUAACACAUGCAAGUCGAGCGGAAAGGCCCUUCGGGGUACUCGAGCGGCGAACGGGUGAGUAACACGUGAGCAACCUGCCCCUGGCUCUGGGAUAGCUCCGGGAAACCGGGAUUAAUACCGGAUAUGACCUGCUUACGCAUGUUUGCGGGUGGAAAGUUUUUCGGCUGGGGAUGGGCUCGCGGCCUAUCAGCUUGUUGGUGGGGUGAUGGCCUACCAAGGCGACGACGGGUAGCCGGCCUGAGAGGGCGGGCGGCCACACUGGGACUGAGAUACGGCCCAGACUCCUACGGGAGGCAGCAGUGGGGAAUAUUGCGCAAUGGGCGGAAGCCUGACGCAGCGACGCCGCGUGGGGGAUGAAGGCCUUCGGGUUGUAAACCUCUUUCAGCAGGGGCGAAGCGAGAGUGACGGUACCUGCAGAAGAAGCGCCGGCUAACUACGUGCCAGCAGCCGCGGUAAUACGUAGGGCGCAAGCGUUGUCCGGAAUUAUUGGGCGUAAAGAGCUCGUAGGCGGCCAGUUGCGUCUNNCGUGAAAUCCCGGGACUUAACCCCGGGCGUGCGGUGGAUACGGGCUGGCUGGAGCAGGCAGGGGAGAAUGGAAUUCCCGGUGUAGCGGUGAAAUGCGCAGAUAUCGGGAGGAACACCGGUGGCGAAGGCUCUCUGGGCCUGUUCUGACGCUGAGGAGCGAAAGCGUGGGGAGCGAACAGGAUUAGAUACCCUAGUAGUCC
rnacentral:rRNA from 1 species